rnacentral:rRNA from 1 species
GGGUUGUGAGGUUAAGCGACUAAGCGUACACGGUGGAUGCCCUGGCAGUCAGAGGCGAUGAAGGACGUGCUAAUCUGCGAUAAGCGUCGGUAAGGUGAUAUGAACCGUUAUAACCGGCGAUUUCCGAAUGGGGAAACCCAGUGUGAUUCGUCACACUAUCAUUAACUGAAUCCAUAGGUUAAUGAGGCGAACCGGGGGAACUGAAACAUCUAAGUACCCCGAGGAAAAGAAAUCAACCGAGAUUCCCCCAGUAGCGGCGAGCGAACGGGGAGCAGCCCAGAGCCUGAAUCAGUGUGUGUGUUAGUGGAAGCGUCUGGAAAGGCGUGCGAUACAGGGUGACAGCCCCGUACACAAAAAUGCACAUACUGUGAGCUCGAUGAGUAGGGCGGGACACGUGGUAUCCUGUCUGAAUAUGGGGGGACCAUCCUCCAAGGCUAAAUACUCCUGACUGACCGAUAGUGAACCAGUACCGUGAGGGAAAGGCGAAAAGAACCCCGGCGAGGGGAGUGAAAAAGAACCUGAAACCGUGUACGUACAAGCAGUGGGAGCACGCUUAGGCGUGUGACUGCGUACCUUUUGUAUAAUGGGUCAGCGACUUAUAUUCUGUAGCAAGGUUAACCGAAUAGGGGAGCCGAAGGGAAACCGAGUCUUAACUGGGCGUUAAGUUGCAGGGUAUAGACCCGAAACCCGGUGAUCUAGCCAUGGGCAGGUUGAAGGUUGGGUAACACUAACUGGAGGACCGAACCGACUAAUGUUGAAAAAUUAGCGGAUGACUUGUGGCUGGGGGUGAAAGGCCAAUCAAACCGGGAGAUAGCUGGUUCUCCCCGAAAGCUAUUUAGGUAGCGCCUCGUGAAUUCAUCUCCGGGGGUAGAGCACUGUUUCGGCAAGGGGGUCAUCCCGACUUACCAACCCGAUGCAAACUGCGAAUACCGGAGAAUGUUAUCACGGGAGACACACGGCGGGUGCUAACGUCCGUCGUGAAGAGGGAAACAACCCAGACCGCCAGCUAAGGUCCCAAAGUCAUGGUUAAGUGGGAAACGAUGUGGGAAGGCCCAGACAGCCAGGAUGUUGGCUUAGAAGCAGCCAUCAUUUAAAGAAAGCGUAAUAGCUCACUGGUCGAGUCGGCCUGCGCGGAAGAUGUAACGGGGCUAAACCAUGCACCGAAGCUGCGGCAGCGACGCUUAUGCUUUGUUGGGUAGGGGAGCGUUCUGUAAGCCUGUGAAGGUGUGCUGUGAGGUAUGCUGGAGGUAUCAGAAGUGCGAAUGCUGACAUAAGUAACGAUAAAGCGGGUGAAAAGCCCGCUCGCCGGAAGACCAAGGGUUCCUGUCCAACGUUAAUCGGGGCAGGGUGAGUCGACCCCUAAGGCGAGGCCGAAAGGCGUAGUCGAUGGGAAACAGGUUAAUAUUCCUGUACUUGGUGUUACUGCGAAGGGGGGACGGAGAAGGCUAUGUUGGCCGGGCGACGGUUGUCCCGGUUUAAGCGUGUAGGCUGGUUUUCCAGGCAAAUCCGGAAAAUCAAGGCCGAGGCGUGAUGACGAGGCACUACGGUGCUGAAGCAACAAAUGCCCUGCUUCCAGGAAAAGCCUCUAAGCAUCAGGUAACAUCAAAUCGUACCCCAAACCGACACAGGUGGUCAGGUAGAGAAUACCAAGGCGCUUGAGAGAACUCGGGUGAAGGAACUAGGCAAAAUGGUGCCGUAACUUCGGGAGAAGGCACGCUGAUACGUAGGUGAAGCGACUUGCUCGUGGAGCUGAAAUCAGUCGAAGAUACCAGCUGGCUGCAACUGUUUAUUAAAAACACAGCACUGUGCAAACACGAAAGUGGACGUAUACGGUGUGACGCCUGCCCGGUGCCGGAAGGUUAAUUGAUGGGGUUAGCGCAAGCGAAGCUCUUGAUCGAAGCCCCGGUAAACGGCGGCCGUAACUAUAACGGUCCUAAGGUAGCGAAAUUCCUUGUCGGGUAAGUUCCGACCUGCACGAAUGGCGUAAUGAUGGCCAGGCUGUCUCCACCCGAGACUCAGUGAAAUUGAACUCGCUGUGAAGAUGCAGUGUACCCGCGGCAAGACGGAAAGACCCCGUGAACCUUUACUAUAGCUUGACACUGAACAUUGAGCCUUGAUGUGUAGGAUAGGUGGGAGGCUUUGAAGUGUGGACGCCAGUCUGCAUGGAGCCGACCUUGAAAUACCACCCUUUAAUGUUU